rnacentral:lncRNA from 1 species
AGCUCAAAUUUGACAGACAAGCUCGGUUUAACGUACUGAGUAAGAAUAUAUCUUAAUUUUUCAUUUUCGACCCCGUUUGGUUAUUGAAAACUGUACCGAACUAUAAUCUUUAUCAGAUAGCUGUCGGAUUUUAUUUCUCACUUUACGUGUGUCAGAAAAAUAUAAAACUUUAAGUCUAGUCUCAUAAAAAUAUUUCUUACUUAUCCUCCAAUUUUCAUAAUUUUCUGACACUAUGCAUUUUCUGCUAAUUUAUCUGCCCCGUUUUCAACAGAAAAUUCUAAAUCUUCUGUUUUCGCUCCGAUUUCAGCACGGGUCAUUUCCAAAUUAUAUUUCACUUCUCUAAAUCCAAUAAAAAUAGUAUCUCAUACUAUUUUUAUUUAUUUUCAUUUUUAUAUUUAAAAUUCAGUAUAUUACAUUCCACCGCAAUCUCUCCGGAACCAUUCAAAUGGCUUUCAAACCAAAUGUACACCGUAACAUCAUAAUUUUAGAAGUCCGGUACCUUACAUUCUCCCCUCCUUAAAAGAGUUUCGUCCUCGAAACUAUCUCACUUCAAUUCCAAUUCAUACCCCAACUCAACUUAUCAAAUAGUCGAG